rnacentral:rRNA from 1 species
GGCCAGCAGCCGCGGUAAAACGUAGGAGCCUAGCGUUAUCCGAAUUCACUGGGCGUAAAGCGCGUGCAGGCGGCCAGAUAAGUUGGAUGUGAAAUCUCCCGGCUCAACUGGGAGAGGCCGUUCAAAACUAUCUAGCUCGAGGGCGAUAGAGGGAGGUGGAAUUCCCGGUGUAGUGGUGAAAUGCGUAGAUAUCGGGAGGAACACCAGUGGCGAAAGCGGCCUCCUGGAUCGUACCUGACGCUGAGAUGCGAAAGCUAGGGGAGCAAACGGGAUUAGAAACCCCGGUAGUCCUAGCUGUAAACGAUGUAGACUGGGUGUGGGAGGGGUAAAAGCCUUCUGUGCCGAAGCUAACGCGAUAAGUCUACCGCCUGGGGACUACGGCCGCAAGGUUAAAACUUAAAGGAAUUGGCGGGGGA